AUGCUCACUGCAGCAGCACGCAUGCUAAAAUGGAAACAAUAGGAGUACAGAGAAGAUUGGCAUGGCCUCUGCAAAAGGAUGAUGUGCACAUUUCCUAAAUGUUCCAUAUUUUU
ensembl:snRNA U6 U6 spliceosomal RNA